UUAGAGUUUGAUCUGGCUCAGGAUGAACGCUAGCGGCAGGCUUAAUACAUGCAAGUCGAGGGGCAGCAGGUUCCGUAGCAAUACGGAAUGCUGGCGACCGGCAAACGGGUGCGGAACACGUACGCAACCUACCCAAAACUGGGGAAUAGCCCGGGGAAACCCGGAUUAAUACCUCGUAACAUAAUGAAGUGGCAUCACUUUAUUAUUAUAGAUUUUAUCGGUUUUGGAUGGGCGUGCGCCUGAUUAGGUAGUUGGCGGGGUAACAGCCCACCAAGCCUGCGAUCAGUAACUGGUGUGAGAGCACGACCAGUCACACGGGCACUGAGACACGGGCCCGACUCCUACGGGAGGCAGCAGUAAGGAAUAUUGGUCAAUGGACGCAAGUCUGAACCAGCCAUGCCGCGUGAAGGAUGAAGGUCCUCUGGAUUGUAAACUUCUUUUAUAUGAGAAGAAAUCCUCUUAUUCUUUCGGGGUUGACGGUACCAUAGGAAUAAGCACCGGCUAACUCCGUGCCAGCAGCCGCGGUAAUACGGAGGGUGCAAGCGUUAUCCGGAUUCACUGGGUUUAGAGGGUGCGUAGGAGGGCAGGUAAGUCAGUGGUGAAUCCCCGAGCUUAACUCGGGAACUGCCGUUGAUACUAUCUGUCUUGUAUAUUGUGGAGGUGAGCGGAAUAUGUCAUGU
rnacentral:rRNA from 1 species